rnacentral:rRNA from 1 species
GGAUGGGUGAGUACCACGUGGGUAACCUGCCCUAAAGUCUGGGAUACCACUUGGAAACAGGUGCUAAUACCGGAUAACAACAAUAGCUGCAUGGCUAUUGCUUAAAAGGCGGCGAAAGCUGUCGCUAAAGGAUGGACCCGCGGUGCAUUAGCUAGUUGGUAAGGUAAUGGCUUACCAAGGCGACGAUGCAUAGCCGAGUUGAGAGACUGAUCGGCCACAUUGGGACUGAGACACGGCCCAAACUCCUACGGGAGGCAGCAGUAGGGAAUCUUCCACAAUGGGCGAAAGCCUGAUGGAGCAACGCCGCGUGAGUGAAGAAGGUUUUCGGAUCGUAAAGCUCUGUUGUUGGUGAAGAAGGAUAGAGGUAGUAACUGGCCCCUAUUUGACGGUAAUCAACCAGAAAGUCACGGCUAACUACGUGCCAGCAGCCGCGGUAAUACGUAGGUGGCAAGCGUUGUCCGGAUUUAUUGGGCGUAAAGCGAGCGCAGGCGGAAAGAUAAGUCUGAUGUGAAAGCCCCCGGCUUAACCGAGGAAUUGCAUCGGAAACUGUGUUUCUUGAGUGCAAAAGAGGAGAGUGGAACUCCAUGUGUAGCGGUGGAAUGCGUAGAUAUAUGGAAGAACACCAGUGGCGAAGGCGGCUCUCUGGUCU